GCUUCGGAAUAUAUCGGAGCCUCGCUGCUGCUAACUGGCGCCCUGUUGGGCGUACGCAUAUUGCUCGCAACGUGGCUGAUUAUUAUCCUACCGAUAUUCGUGUUUCAGACAUUAUACUGUUGUUAUAGAGCCUUUGCCUAUUACGAGCUGCGCUUCUUAUUUCUCCUCUUCUUUUCGUUAUUUUUUUUUACCUAUUCAGUAUUGUUAGUUCAAUCACACUAUGAGGAACUCCAUCA